ACAGCAUGACCUAAACAGGGAAAUGAGACAAAAGCAUUAAAUAGGGAGUGCUGAGGGAACAGAAUAAAAAUGCAACUGCAAUAGGAAACAACAUACAAAACUCAAACAAUAAACUAGAGAACUUCUGGGAAAGUAUAAAAAAGCAAGGAAUACAAACAGCCUCAUAUAUAAAAAAGUUUUCAGUUUCAUUCAACUUUAUUUACACAGCGCCAAAUCACAACAACAGUCGCUUCAAGGUGCUUUAUAUUGUACAGUAAACCCUACAAUAACACAUACUGAGAAAAACCCAACAAUCAUAUGACCCCCUAUGAGCAGCACUUUGGCAACAGUGGGAAGGAAAAACUCCCUUUUAACAGGAAGAAACCUCCAGCAGAACCAGGCUCAGGGAGGGGCGGGGCCAUCUGCUGUGAUUGGUUGGGGUGAGAGAAGGAAGACAGGAUAAAGACAUGCUGUGGAAGAGAGACAGAGGUUAAUAACGGAUAUGAUUCAAUGCAGAGAGGUCUAUUAAUACAUAGUGAGUGAGAAAGGUGACUGGAAAGGAAAAACUCAAUGCAUCAUGGGAAUCCUCGGCAGCCUACGUCUAUUGCAGCAUAACUAAGGGAGGAUUCAGGGUCACCUGGUCCAGCCCUAACUAUAUGCUUUAGCAAAAAGGAAAGUUUGAAGCCUAAUCUUAAAAGCAGAAAAGAGCUGAGGAAAGCCCCAGGCCCCGCCAAGCAGCCCCCGGGAGUGAGCCAGUACAAACCCGAACAUCCAGCCCUGGACACCGAGAACCAUCAAUGCACCAACGGUCCCUGUCAGGAAGACAGGAACAAAGCAGUCUUACAUAUUUGUUUAAUAUGUGCGUUGAAGGACAUGUCCUGGUCAACAAUGACUCCAAGGUUCCUCACAGCGUUACUGGAGGCCAAGACAGAAGGAAGAAAUCUUGGAACCAAAGACAAAACUUCCCACACGUUUUAAAGAGCCAGCAGGUAGAAUGGGAGCAGAGCAGGAGCAUCCUUAUAAUAAGAAAGAGAAAUCAAAGUGCUUUACACAACAAGCCUCGCUCAUACAAGCACGCUGCACGCUGAUCAGGUGUGAAAGCUGCGCUCUCUCUGGGAUUUUACUCACCAUGGGGCUUUUUGGACGCUUCAUCAAUGUUUCUUUUUUGUUACAAUGUCUUAUAUUUUAGAGUGAUUUCAUUAAAUGUUGCCAUUGUUGUGCUUUAAGUUGUAAGCCUUGUCCUAAACAGCAUGAUCGAAGACAUUCCCUUGUUUCUGUUCCCCUCCCCAGCAUGUCAGAUGGUAUAGUGAUGUUUAACUUCCUGCCCUUUAUGACCUCAACUGUGCUACUCGUUCUUGAGUGAGUGUCUGUUUAUCCAGCAGUUUCAGGAAUAUCUCUCUGACAUUAAACUGCACUGACC
ensembl:lncRNA